ACCAUGGACUUAAGUUAAACUAAUCUUGUUCCCACAUAUUAAGGAAGGGCAUCGAUUAUCCUAUCAAUAUCAUCAUCAUUACAAUACGUCCCCAAAUUGCUUUAAACUCUGUUAUAAUUCUUCGAAUGACCUCCGGCCCCGAUCUAGAGACCCUGGGCUGCCACCCCAGGCCCGAAGUCUCGGCCUGAUAGAACCAUCUUCUUGCGUAGCUCUCAGCCCAAACGAAGAACCGGGAGGCCAGGUCCCCUUUCAUAUCAACUGGACCCCC
rnacentral:lncRNA from 1 species